UCCUAGUUAACCUAGGCAGUCUCAUUAGAGUUCCCAUCCGAAAUGUUGGCAACUAAUGAUAAGGGUUGCGCUCGUUGCUGGACUUAACCAAACACCUCACGGCACGAGCUGACGACAGCCAUGCAGCACCUGUGCACAGGCCCCGAAAGGCUAUAACAUUUCUGCUAUAUUCCUGUGCAUGUCAAGCCUGGGUAAGGUUCUUCGCGUUGCAUCGAAUUAAACCACAUGCUCCACUGCUUGUGCGGGUCCCCGUCAAUUCUUUUGAGUUUCAGCCUUGCGACUGUACUCCCCAGGCGGUAUACUUAUCGCGUUAGCUACGGCACAAUCAGGGUUGAGUCCGAUUACACCAAGUAUACAUAGUUUACGGCAAGGACUAC
rnacentral:misc_RNA from 1 species